rnacentral:lncRNA from 1 species
UUCACACUCGCUCUGUACAACGUUCACGUACCUGUUUUCGUUCGGCGACGGCUCAACGACAUGAAGCAGCAGGUCUUCGCUUGAGUCUUCGUAAUAAACAGCACUGGCAGAACACACAAGACGAGCACAAAGCGCAAGCACAAUUCAAACAAGAGAAAAUUCGACUUGAACUCGGACCUUUGGGAGGCGGCACGAACGCGACGAGCAACAAACAAGCAAACGAG